rnacentral:tRNA from 1 species
ACAUUUAUAGUAUAAUUAAUUAUGUUGCUUUUCCAAAGCAGAUAUCUAAGAAAUUUAGUGAAUGUA